GGCAUAAUUAAGAGCUGUUGCAGAUAACAGUGCCUGUCUGUUUGCUUGUUUUACUACACAGGCACUACAAGUAAAUCCUCAUCAGUUAAAAACCAGCUUUGUGUGGACAAUCCUUUUAUUUAACAUCCCUAAAACACAACGCAGAGGAACAACCGCUACAAAACUGGUGCCGUGACCCGCCGACUGGUUGAUCGUUGUCGACCGCUGGGAUUGCUGACGUGGUGUGUGACUACCGAUGAGGGGGCUGGAGGUGCUUCUGUCAUCUGUUGCUGUUUCUUCGGUGGAGUUCGGACGUCUGACAGAUUGAACCGUGUCUAGGAGGAGACUGCUGACGUGGAUCGAGUGAGCAGCGUGCUGGAUCAUCGAGGAGUGUCGCCGCCUAACUUGUUCUGACUGAACUGUAAAUGAAGGUACUUCACGUCAUCAAUUGACUUUUUGACAGGAGGAUUUGAAAAAAAAAGUGGACCGUGCUUUAUAUGAGUUUUAAGGCAUAAUUAAGAGCUGUUGCAGAUAACAGUGCCUGUCUGUUUGCUUGUUUUACUACACAGGCACUACAAGUAAAUCCUCAUCAGUUAAAAACCAGCUUUGUGUGGACAAUCCUUUUAUUUAACAUCCCUAAAACACAACGCAG
ensembl:lncRNA